rnacentral:misc_RNA from 1 species
GGGGCGAGAGGAAAGCGAGGAACUGUUCAUUUCCCACGAGGCACUUCGCGUCACUAGGCUGCGUUCAACGAUUCAAAAUGGCUGGGAACAGUCAGCAAAGCAUGGAAACAGGCUCUAUUUCUAGUCGUGUAGAUGUCGACAAUCCGCCUUUCUCUCGUAUCUUUAUAGUCUGUAGUAAGAAGCACACGUCAGAUGACAUGAAGGCUGCAUUUGAGCAGUUUGGGGGCAUCGAGGAUAUCUGGGUUGUCAAAGACAAGCACACGAAGGAAAACCGCGGCGUAUGUUACAUCAAGUUUGCGAAAGCGUCCUCCGCCGCUAGAGCUUGCGAAGAAAUGGAUGGAAAGGUGAUUGGGGAAGAUCCAAAGCCCAUUAAGGCAAUGAUUGCCCAGUCUAAGGUUUCAGGCUCCAAAACAGAUUUUCAUGAUGAAACAGCACUCACCCGUCUAUUCAUUAUCUGCCCCAAAGAAUAUUCAGAGGAUAACUUGCGCCAGAAGUUCCAAGGCUUUGGGGAGAUAGAGUAUGUUCAGGUAGUACGUGAUCACAAAACUGGUGAAAACAAGGGAUUUGGUUACGUGAAGUUUAAAAAGUCGUCGUCAGCAGCUGUUGCCCUUGAAAACUGUGACAAAACCCUUAAGGCCGUCUGGGCAGAACCCAAGUCAGCCAAAAUUGCUCGGAAUGCAGCUGCAGCAGCUGCAGCAAUGCAGUCCACAUUGAUCCCACACAAUCCUUUCUUAGAGGCAAGCAACUACCCACCUACUGCUACACCCUCAGUCAACAUGAAUGCAAAUGCUUCAGCCUCCCUACAGGGGGUUGUAGAUUACUAUAGUGGGCAAAACCCCGUGGCAGCCGUAGCAGAAUCAAUAACAACAUCGCAUACCCCCACGCGACUGUUUGUCAAGGUCUCCCCGAUGAUAGGACCGGAACAGCUGUCACGCUUGUUUGACAUCAUCCCUGGUAUGCAAAUGUGCGAUUUAAAGCGGAACUUUAACACUGGGGAAUCAAAGGGGUUUGCGUAUGUCACAUACAACUCUGUAGGGUCUGCAAUAUAUGCCAAAGAAAAGCUCAAUGGGUUUGAAUACCCCCUGGGUUCAAAGCUUGUGGUAAAGUAUGCGGAAGAUCCCCCAGGGAUGCGCAACAAUGGCACAGGACAGGGCAGUGAUGCAACUUUUCAGGUUCAGUCAUAUGGUUCUAAGUCGUCAUUAACAGGUGGUUCCUUCGCCGUGGACUCAACUGCUGUUUACACGUCAGCAGCCCUCCCAGCACCAUCUCCUUUGGCAGAUGCAAACUCUGAGGUGGCAUCAAGGCUGUUUAUAGUUUGCCAGCCAGCACCGCCACCAGAGAACGCACUAAAAGAUGUCUUCAGCAGGUUCGGAAACCUGAUUGACGUGUGGAUGAUGAAGGAUCGUAACUUUGGUUACGCCAAGUUUGCAAGCAAGGAGUCCGCUGAUGCAGCUAUAGAAGGUAUACACGGCCAUGAAGUGCUGGGGAUGAAGCUUAAGGUGAUGCAUGCCGACCCACCAAAGUCAGAAGCUUCCAGAAAACGCCCACGCACAUGAUGACCCCCCCUGAAUUAUUAAUGGAACCACAUUGCCACUGUAGCAUGGAUUGAUGUAUAAAAGAAACCCUGAGAUAGAGUUUGGACGGAUUGCAUUCCACAGGUUCUGGAACAGCCGGGAAAAGCAGCUCUUACUUGGUCACGGGCCUUUGCAAAUUUAGUGGGCCGAGAGAGGAACUGGACCGGACAAUUGAAACCUGCUUCCCAGUCCCGCUUCUUGACUAAGCGUUAAUCCUGGUGAGCGUGGAGACUGGGACAGAAUAAAGGGAACUUUCCAAUUAGCUAAAGGAGACAAUUCUUUUUCAAAGCAAAUUUGUAACAAAAAUUUUAACCUUACAAGAGACCUCGCUGGCUUCGGAUUAGUGAAGAGAUGCGAUUCAAAGUGGAAUUAUCGUUUUAUUGAUAGAAUUAACGAGUUUUAAAGUGCACACGUAAUCAAAAAGCAUCACUAAAGGCACUAAAUAAAAUAUGAUUUUAUUUGGGUUUUUUUUGAAGCGUAUGGCACUUGAUUUAGCUGACCGUGUUCGUCCAGUCUGUUGGACAUACAGCAAAGUGAAACUAAGUAUACUGUAUCGUGGUAAAUGUACUUACUUAACUGACAACAGGCUUCGUUUGUAGUAAUGUGAAACAUUUGGAGUUGAUAAAGGUACAUUAACGCCGUAACAAGUUUUGUCGUCAAACUAGCGUUUCAAGCCUUGCUGUUCAUCAGACCAAGUGUUUGCUCUGUGGAGAGACUGAUGCUUGAAAAGUAAACUUGACAAUCUGGUUACGGCGAUGUAGUCACCUUUAUCAGUCGUAUUAACAUCAAGUUGAUAAAUAGCUGUGUGUUUUACUUGCUCGCCAACCCAGACCAACAUUUUCUUUAGAACCUGCUAAACAACCCUGUGUAUGUAAUGAUCCGUGUUUUUUGAGUCCCAUAUUUAGUCUACAAUAACCUAAAUAUCCCACCAUUUGUUACAGUAACAGUAGGAAAAACGAAACCAAGCUUUUUGUACAGAGGUAGAGCUUGUAUAUUUACUCGGUCGCUUAUUUUUCUGUGUUAUUUUUUCCUUCGUUUUUACUCUUUUAUUUAACGUUUUGCUUAUGAAUAACAGAGCUCUGGAAGCAAAGUUGUCAGUAAUAUUUUACACAACUGCAAGUGACUUCAAUAUUGUUUCCAGUACUUAAUGAGUUGACGAGAUGGCGAUGUUCUUUACUGGAGCAUUUCUGUGUUUUAAAACUAUACUGGGAUUUGAAUUAGCUUACAGAGUAUUCCGUU